CUAAGGAGCAUCUCCAAUGCUCGCGCCACACAGGUGGUGUCGAGGUUGGCAGAGCCGCUUAUGUUCCCGAAUGUGGAACUGCGGAGCUCAUGGGUGGAACGCUGACAAGCUCUUCUCGUUCAACGCUGGUCCUCGGUGGCCGGCCAGGGAAGAUAUAUCGACACACUGUUGGGUCCUGAAAGAACAGACGUUCUUUCCAGGCAAAAGAUACGACUUGCUCGGAUUUUCUGAGAUACUGCUGGCUUUGCCGGUAAGUCCUGAUUUCCAAUCCGGGUGGGUGUGUUGUUUGAGAACUGCACAGUGGACGCGAGCAUCUUUGUUUGUAAGUGUGUAAGGGCGUAC
rnacentral:misc_RNA from 1 species